AGGAGCCGGAGAUGUCGCCGGUACUGCCACUGGUGGUGGUGGUGCUGUUCGACGUGGUAACGAUGAGAGAGCUGCUGGUGGUGGCUGCAAUCGAUCAUGAUUAUGGAGAGCAAGAGUUUUCGGAAAAAGACAAUGAGGAAGAAUGGAA
rnacentral:ribozyme from 1 species